rnacentral:misc_RNA from 1 species
UACAGAGGUCCCAAGCGUUGUUCGGAUUCACUGGGCGUAAAGGGUGCGUAGGUGGCAGGGUAAGUCUGAUGUGAAAUCUCCGAGCUCAACUCGGAAAUGGCAUUGGAAACUACUCUGCUUGAGGGUUGGAGGGGAGACUGGAAUUCUUGGUGUAGCAGUGAAAUGCGUAGAUAUCAAGAGGAACACCGGUGGCGAAAGCGAGUCUCUGGACAACACCUGACACUGAGGCACGAAAGCUAGGGGAGCAAACAGG